CAGAGAAUAGUUUAUAUAAAAUAUUAAUUUUGGAGAUUAAUGAAGAGAUUUUUCUUUUCUCUGA
rnacentral:tRNA from 1 species